rnacentral:rRNA from 1 species
GACGAACGCUGGCGGCGUGCUUAACACAUGCAAGCCGAACGGGAAGGCUCUGCUUUUGUGGGGUGCUCGAGUGGCGAACGGGUGAGUAACACGUGAGUAACCUGCCCUUGACUUUGGGAUAACUUCAGGAAACUGGGGCUAAUACCGGCUAGGAGCUCCUGCUGCAUGGUGGGGGUUGGAAAGUUUCGGCGGUUGGGGAUGGACUCGCGGCUUAUCAGCUUGUUGGUGGGGUAGUGGCUUACCAAGGCUUUGACGGGUAGCCGGCCUGAGAGGGUGACCGGCCACAUUGGGACUGAGAUACGGCCCAGACUCCUACGGGAGGCAGCAGUGGGGAAUAUUGCACGAUGGGCGGAAGCCUGAUGCAGCAACGCCGCGUGCGGGAUGACGGCCUUCGGGUUGUAGACCGCUUUCGCCUGUGACGAAGCGUGAGUGACGGUAAUGGGUAAAGAAGCACCGGCUAACUACGUG